AUCAGUCAAUAUUAUAAUUGCAAAUAUGUCAUUAGAAGGAUCUAUCAAUAUUGCAUUAACAGUACAUGUAAUGGAUUAGACUCUUCCAGGGGACAAAAAUCCCGAAAGGCAACCCUACAGGACCCUGGCAGAGUCUGGAGACUGUCAUUUUCCUAUUUCCCUUCCUUAAGUAUCCUCUAUUCAUGGUAAUGUCAGAUAUUUACAUUACAGUUCAUAACAGAAGCAAAAUUACAGUUAGAAACUAGCAACGAAAAUAAAUUUUGCUGGAGAGAUGGCUCAGUGAUUAAGAGCACUGUCUGCUCUUCCAGAGGUCCCUGGUUCAAUUCCCAGCAACCACAUGGUGGCUCACAACCAUCUGUAAUGGGAUCCAAUGCCCUCUUUUGCUGUGUCUGAAGACAGCUACAGUGUACUUCUAGACGUUAAAUAAAUAUGCAGAUAAGUAAGUCACCUGAGAUCAAAUUUUUAAAAAAAGUAGAAGGUUGGGUUAUCUAUCAAUCCACCCCUGAGGGUCUUUAUCUACUUGCUGGUCUCAUCCCUGCACCCUGCCUCCACCUUGUCUAUUUGCUGCCUAUUUCUCCUCAACAAAAACAAAGUCUUCUUUAAAGAAAAAGUAGCCCAUUCAUUGUUGUUCAUGAGGCCAGGUCCUGUGUGGGCUACCUAGUUUAACAUUCAGUGAGUAGUUGGCAUGACUUCUAAUCUCUGAUUCUUUGGCCUCCCCCUUCCAACUCUUGGAAUUACAUGUAUGUAGCCCAUAGCUAAGUUUGCACUAUAAUCAGGUUUCAGUAGAAUUUAUCCAUCCAUGGCUUUCUAAACUGUUGGAAUUGUUGGUUCAUUUGCAAAAUAAAUAAAUAAAUAAUAUUUCCUCCUUCUAGUACUGACCUGCGUUGCUAGCACUGUAUCCUUACUGAUAAGGAAGCUGAUUGUAAGGAUACCAGUCUGAGCUGCUUAGAGACAAGCUUGGGGAGGAGGGAUUCGGGGACAGAUGCUCUAAUGGAAGCCAGAGAGGAAGUCAGGUGUCCUCUAUUUCAUCUUACCUUGAACCAGAGGCUCAUGUUUCUCAACGGCUCUGCUAGGAUUCAGCGAGCCACCCAAUCCUGUCUCCCACACGCAUACCCUUGGGGCUAGGGUGAGAGGCUUCUCCUGAACACAGAUCCAUGGUGGGAUCUGAAUUCUUGGCCUCAUGAUUCUAUAGAAAAUGCUUACAACUCCUCAGCCACCUCCAGAGCCGCCCCUGCACCCAGAGUUUAUUUUUAAACCUGGCAUUCGUGUGGUAACUUGGCUUGCUUUCUAACUGCAGCCGACGUUCUGAGCGAGGAGGCGAUACUGAAGUGGUAUAAAGAAGCACAUGCCGCCAAAGGCAAAAGCGUCUUCCUUGACCAGAUGAAGAAAUUUGUGGAGUGGCUACAAAAUGCAGAAGAAGAAUCUGAAUCAGAAGGUGAAGAAAGCUAAAUGUCUCCAGCACACUGCCUAAAAAAAAAAAAAAAAA
rnacentral:lncRNA from 1 species